GUUCGCCAUUUUGCACGUGUACGAAACAGUGUUUACCAUUCUGGGAAAUGAGGAUAUAUGGUUUGUUUAUUUGUGUUCCUUUGUAAUUUUACCAGCUUAAAAGUCGUCAAAAUGAGCUCCGAUGCGAUGUUUAUCUGUGGAGCACUCGCUGAAGAGUCUUGUUUGCAGACUGCCAAUCCAAGAUCACAUCGCAGAAAACAGUAGAUCGUGUCAUCAAACGAUGCCAAUAGAUCAUCAUUGGAGCUAUGCUGUGAAAAGCCUUUCUUCUUAUCCAUGGAGGUCAUAAAUCUUAUGGACAAAUCUUGAUAGGUUGCUUGUGGACUAUCCAUUGAUUGGUCUCCAUCAUAUAUCUUAUGGGCAAGCUUUGUUAAUGGACCUUAGAGAAGCAUUAGUAAUGGACUGUUAGGCAAGCUUGGUAUGUGGCCUGUGAACAUUUUUUGAUAUAUGGCCUGUGGACAAGCCUUGGCAAAUAACCUGUGGACAAGUCUUCAUGGACAUUGGGAAACAGUGGAUCUCAUAUAAUAAGAGGAAAGUGGAUGAGGCAGAAUAGCAAGUGGUAAACCAGAGAGUUUAAUUACCUCAGAGUUUUCAUGAAGACAGCUGUGCUGCUCAAGGUGUGGUAUUGCAACAAAUUUGGAGAUACCACAGAGGCUUGAGGAGCAAACUCUCACUUCCUUUCCUGGACAAGCCUUGGUUGGUAGCCUGUGGACAAGCCUUGAUUGGUAGCCUGUGGACAAGCCUUGGUUGGUAGCCAAUGGACAAGCCUUGGUUGGUAGCCUGUGGACAAGCCCUGGAACAAAGCUGUGGACAAAUUUUUUACUGACAGUGGUGAAUCCUGGAUUGUGGAUGAGAGUGGUUACUGGAUAAGGCUGGAUAAGAAAGUGGUGAACCAGAGAGUUGAAAGCUAUAGAUACGAUGCAACAGAUCUGCCAAAUGAAAGCAUCACAACUGGACAGCACAAUAUUAGCAAGAACAUGGACCCAUCUUGGUAGAAGAACCUUGACAAUUCACCCUGGAAGCAAGUACAGGAUUAGUUAUCAUAAUUAUUUCCAUUAAUGCUAGAUUAUAUUUUAAGCCCAGCCUGGAAUGUCAUUGAAUGUGGGGUGCAGCUGGCCCAGGGUUUUCCUCCUAGGUGUAAGUGGACAUAUGGGGAGGUUUUUCACCCAGCUGUUGUUCCACCACCCCCACUCAUUAAGGUUUUUUUUUCCUACACAUGUAGUUCAUAAUAAUGGAAAGUGUGUGUGCCCCAGUUGUUCAAACAAGUGCUUUUGGGGUCUCAGGUUCCAGGGCUUAGGUUUUUGGGUCUCAGUUUUUAUUGAAUCUCAGGUCUUAGAGCUUGGGUUUCUGGGUCAUAGGAUUUUCAGGUCCUGGGUUUUUUCGGUGGUAAGUUUUUUGGGUCUUAGGUUAUUUUGAGUUUUGGUUAAACUGCCUUAGUAGAUUUUUAUUGAAUGUCCACUCUAAGAGCUUUGGUUUCUGGGUCAUAGGAUUUUCAGGUUUUGGGUUUUUUAGGUCAUGGUGAGUUUUUAGGUUUUUAGGUUUUUAGGUUUUUGGGGGCUCAGGGUUGAUGGCUUAGGUUUAAAGGUCUCUCUGGGUCAUGGGAUAUUUGGGUACUGGGUUUUCUGAGUGGUGGGUUUUUUGGGUCUUAGAUUUCUUUGGGUUCAGGUUUAAUGGGCUAGGUAUUUGGGACUUGGUUUUUAUUAAAUCUCAGGUCAAUAGGUUUCUGGCUCAAACCAUUUUCAGGGUCUUGGUUUUUUUUGGGUGGUAAGCUCUUGGUUCUUAUAAUUGUUUGGGUUCAGGUUUAAUGGGCUUAGGUUUAUGGGUCUUGGUUUCUUUUCUUUUUUUUUUUGCUUAUUAGGAUUUUCUGGUCUCAAGUUUCUUAGUCAUAAAUGUUUUCAGUGGUACAUUUUUCAGGUCUCAGAUAUAUCGGGGUCCUUCAAGUUUUUGCCUCUCAAGUUUUAAGGGUUUCAGGUUCAAGGUACUUUGGCUUUUUGGUUCCGGGUUUUUGUGGUCUUGGGCUUUUCAGGCCCUGGGUAUUUAAGGGUCUAAGGUCUUUCGGGUCAGGCUUUUUGGGUUGUAGGAUUUUUCAGUCUUCAGUCCCUAAGGUUCUUAGAUCUUGGGUCAGGCUUUUUUGGGAUCUCUGUUUUUUUCAGUCUUUGUUCUCUGGUAUCUUAGGCUUUUCAACCCUUAGGCAUUUCAGGGUUCAAGGUCUUUUGGGUCAGGCUUUUUGGGUCUCAGGUCUUUUCAGUCUUAGGAUAUUUGUUCUUAGGUUUGUGUAUUUUAGGUUUGUUGGGUCUAAGGUAGUUGGGGUUGUAGAUUGAGGGUGUUAGGUUCCUCUUGUCACAGGUUUCCAAGUCUUAGGUUUUCUGAAUCCUCUCUGGGGGUGGGAUUUCUGGUCCUCACUAUUUUUCUAGGUGCUCAGUUUAGGUUUUUGCUCCUUACUGUGGGUCUUUAUUAUCAUAAUAUGAUUUAGAAGACAAACAGUAAGUGAGAUAGAACCACUUAGGAAUUUCUUUUAUGCCUGCAUGCCUUAAUUUUUGCACUUGUUUGAACAAAGUUUGGGGAGGUUAAUGUUAGAUUUAGUUGUCUUGAUUCCUACUGGAUAGUCUUUGAUCAAUUUUUUUUCUGUAGAGUUUACAUGUUAUUCUAAGACCGCAACUCAUUCAAUCUCAGUUUUCUAGGUCUAAGGCAUUGUUGAACAUCAUGAUUUAUCUACCAAAUUUAAUUUCAUGGUGACUGUCAUAGGUGUGUGACACAGAUAAAAAUUGGAGCAAGUGCACAUUAAGCUGACAGAGGUGGCUGUUUUCACAUUCAAAUUGUGGGGGCUAAAGUGUUAAGGCAAGGAUUGUCACCUCAAGGAGAAAAUAUCUCAAGAAAAUUUCAAUUUCAAAUCAAAAAAAUCUAAGAGACUAUGGCAAGGAGAUUUCUUGGUCAUUUUCUGGUCUUUUUGGUCUAAGAUUUUGUUAAGGUUCAAGUCUCUUAGAUAUGUGGUUUUUUAAGCCCUGGGAUCUUUUAGAUCUCAGGUUCUUUGGGUGUGAGACUUUUGGGUCUUUAAUAGGUUUUGUAUCAAAGGUUUUUUUGGGUCUAAGUUUUUUCGGUCUAGUUUUAGAGUGUGAUUGAAGCUAUUGGAUAUUGGUAACCACAGACAAAUUAUAACUCAUAGGCAUUUGGAAUGGAGAAAUUGGAUGGAAAAUUUCAAAUAUUUUUUACAAAGCCAUGCUGAAUGAUACGUUUAAAUUAAGCUAAAAAUAGUUCUAAGACAUACCUCAUUGCUCAUAUGGAGGCUGUCAAAACAAUUACUGAUUAGUAAUGAUAGUUAAUAUUACCAACAUCAUGCUGACAAAAUUGUUUAAAAUAUAUUUCUGGGUCUUAGGUUUCCACACUAUAUGUUUUCUUAUUCCAAAGUGUAUCAGGUUUUUCAGAUCUAAGUUUGGUGGGUCAUGGUUUUCCUUUCCUUAGGUUUUCCAGUUCUCAAGUUUUUUUGGGACCAAGGUGUUCUAAGUUGUGGGUUUUUGGGCCUCAGGUUUCUGAAUCUUGGAUUUCCUAGUCUAAGGUAUAUUUUUGGGUCUUUUUGUGGGUCAAGGAUCUCCAGGUUUAACCAGUUUUAAGUCCAGGGUGAUAGUAUAUUCUAGAUCUCAGAUUUCCAUGUCUCAGGUAUAUUUCUGGUUCUUGGGUUUAAGGGCCAUAAGUUCUGAGUGUUAGAGUCCUAGAUUUUGGUCUUAAGUUUCAGGUUCUUAGAUUUCAAAGUCCUUAGCUUAUUUCUACCAUUUCAUAUUAAUUAUAAGGGUUAAAGGUCUCUGGGUCUCAGAUUUCUGAGUUUUAGGCUUCACAGUUUUAGGUUUCUGGGUUAUAGUGGUCUUCAGGUGUUUCAUCCACCUUUUGGGGGGGGGGGAGAAGAGGGUCUUAGACUUCUGCAAUUUGAAUUUAAGGGUAGUUAGGUUGGUGUUGUAGGAAUUAGGGGAAACAUGUCAUUCUAGGAUUUCCCAGCCCAAAGGUUUCCAGAGUUUUAUGAUGUUUUAGGAUUCCUGGUUUUAGAUUGGCAUGAUGUUUUUGGUAAUAUUACUAUAUUGAGUACAUCAGCAAGCUCAUUACCACAAACUACUUUUAGGAGUACUUUUAGUUUGCUUUUCAGUAGUCUACCAUUUUCCCCUCUAGGCUGAAUAUGUGGCUGAUGGCUACACUGGUUAAGCAGAUAGCUUAUCCACAGUUAAGGUUUCAUUUAAAUUUAUUGCUAAGUUAGAUUGAAUUUCAUUUCAUGCAAAGAGCAAAUCCUUGAUGAUUUCACGUAAGUAUG